GACGAACGCUGGCGGCGUGCUUAACACAUGCAAGUCGAACGGAAAGGCCCCCUUGUGGGGUACUCGAGUGGCGAACGGGUGAGUAACACGUGAGUAACCUACCCUUGACUUUGGGAUAACUUCAGGAAACUGGGGCUAAUACCGGAUAGGAGCUCCUGCUGCAUGGUGGGGGUUGGAAAGUUUCGGCGGUUGGGGAUGGACUCGCGGCUUAUCAGCUUGUUGGUGGGGUAGUGGCUCACCAAGGCUUUGACGGGUAGCCGGCCUGAGAGGGUGACCGGCCACAUUGGGACUGAGAUACGGCCCAGACUCCUACGGGAGGCAGCAGUGGGGAAUAUUGCACAAUGGGCGGAAGCCUGAUGCAGCAACGCCGCGUGCGGGAUGACGGCCUUCGGGUUGUAAACCGCUUUCGCCUGUGACGAAGCGUGAGUGACGGUAAUUGGUAAAGAAGCACCGGCUAACUACGUG
rnacentral:rRNA from 1 species